AGUGGCGGACGGGUGAGUAACGCGUGAGGAUCUGCCCUUAGGAUGGGGACAACAGUUGGAAACGACUGCUAAUACCCAAUGUGCCGAAAGGUGAAAGCUUUAGCGCCUGAGGAUGAACUCGCGUCUGAUUAGCUAGUUGGUAGUGUAAUGGACUACCAAGGCGACGAUCAGUAGCUGGUCUGAGAGGAUGAUCAGCCACACUGGGACUGAGACACGGCCCAGACUCCUACGGGAGGCAGCAGUGGGGAAUUUUCCGCAAUGGGCGAAAGCCUGACGGAGCAACGCCGCGUGAGGGAAGACGGCUCGUGGGUUGUAAACCUCUUUUCUCUAGGAAGAAGAACUGACGGUACUAGAGGAAUCAGCAUCGGCUAACUCCGUGCCAGCAGCCGCGGUAAUACGGAGGAUGCAAGCGUUAUCCGGAAUUAUUGGGCGUAAAGCGUCCGUAGGCGGUUUUACAAGUCUGCUGUUAAAGCGUGCAGCUCAACUGCAUAUAGGCAGUGGAAACUGUAAGACUAGAGUGUAGUAGGGGUAGAGGGAAUUCCCAGUGUAGCGGUGAAAUGCGUAGAUAUUGGGAAGAACACCGGUGGCGAAAGCGCUCUACUGGGCUACAACUGACGCUGAUGGACGAAAGCUAGGGGAGCGAAAGAGAUUAGAUACCCCUGUAGUCCUAGCCGUAAACGAUGGACACUAGGUGUUG
rnacentral:rRNA from 1 species